AUUGAACGCUGGCGGCAGGCUUAACACAUGCUAGUCGAGCGGUAGCACAGGAGAGCUUGCUCUCUGGGUGACGAGCGGCGGACGGGUGAGUAAUGUCUGGGAAACUGCCUGAUGGAGGGGGAUAACUACUGGAAACGGUAGCUAAUACCUCAUAACGUCGCAAGACCAAAGAGGGGGACCUUCGGGCCUCUUGCCAUCAUAUGUGCCCAGAUGGGAUUAGCUAGUAGGUGGGGUAAUGGCUCACCUAGGCGACGAUCCCUAGCUGGUCUGAGAGGAUGACCACCCACUCUGGAACUGAGACACGGUCCAGACUCCUACGGGAGGCAGCAGUGGGGAAUAUUGCACAAUGGGCGCAAGCCUGAUGCAGCCAUGCCGCGUGUGUGAAUAAGGCCUUCGGGUUGUAAAGCACUUUCAUCGAGGAGGAAGGUGGUGAACUUAAUACCUUCAUCAUUUGACGUUACUCGCAGAAUAAGCACCGGCUAACUCCGUGCCAGCAUCCGCGGUAAUACGGAGGGUGCAAGCGUUAAUCCGAAUUACUGGGGCGUAAAGCGCACGCAGGCGGUUUGUUAAGUCAGAUGUGAAAUCCCCGGGCUCAACCUGGGAACUGCAUUUGAAACUGGCAAGCUAGAGUCUCGUAGAGGGGGGUAGAAUUCCAGGUGUAGCGGUGAAAUGCGUAGAGAUCUGGAGGAAUACCGGUGGCGAAGGCGGCCCCCUGGACGAAGACUGACGCUCAGGUGCGAAAGCGUGGGGAGCAAACAGGAUUAGAUACCCUGGUAGUCCACGCUGUAAACGAUGUCGAUUUGGAGGUUGUGCCCUUGAGGCGUGGCUUCCGGAGCUAACGCGUUAAAUCGACCGCCUGGGGAGUACGGCCGCAAGGUUAAAACUCAAAUGAAUUGACGGGGGCCCGCACAAGCGGUGGAGCAUGUGGUUUAAUUCGAUGCAACGCGAAGAACCUUACCUACUCUUGACAUCCAGAGAACUUUCCAGAGAUGGAUUGGUGCCUUCGGGAACUCUGAGACAGGUGCUGCAUGGCUGUCGUCAGCUCGUGUUGUGAAAUGUUGGGUUAAGUCCCGCAACGAGCGCAACCCUUAUCCUUUGUUGCCAGCGGUUCGGCCGGGAACUCAAAGGAGACUGCCAGUGAUAAACUGGAGGAAGGUGGGGAUGACGUCAAGUCAUCAUGGCCCUUACGAGUAGGGCUACACACGUGCUACAAUGGCAUAUACAAAGAGAAGCGACCUCGCGAGAGCAAGCGGACCUCAUAAAGUAUGUCGUAGUCCGGAUUGGAGUCUGCAACUCGACUCCAUGAAGUCGGAAUCGCUAGUAAUCGUGGAUCAGAAUGAUACGGUGAAUACGUUCCCGGUCC
rnacentral:rRNA from 1 species